rnacentral:rRNA from 1 species
UACGUAGGGUGCAAGCGUUGUCCGGAAUUAUUGGGCGUAAGGAGCUCGUAGGCGUUUUGUCGCGUCUGCUGUGAAAACUCGGGGCUUAACCCCGGGCCUGCAGUGGGUACGGGCAAACUAGAGUGCGGUAGGGGAGACUGGAAUUCCUGGUGUAGCGGUGAAAUGCGCAGAUAUCAGGAGGAACACCGGUGGCGAAGGCGGGUCUCUGGGCCGUAACUGACGCUGAGGAGCGAAAGCGUGGGGAGCGAACAGG